GAUGAACGCUGGCGGCGUGCCUAAUACAUGCAAGUCGAGCGAACGGACGAGAAGCUUGCCUUUCUGAUGUUAGCGGCGGACGGGUGAGUAACACGUGGAUAACCUACCUAUAAGACUGGGAUAACUUCGGGAAACCGGAGCUAAUACCGGAUAAUAUUUUGAACCGCAUGGUUCAAAAGUGAAAGACGGUCUUGCUGUCACUUAUAGAUGGAUCCGCGCUGCAUUAGCUAGUUGGUAAGGUAACGGCUUACCAAGGCAACGAUGCAUAGCCGACCUGAGAGGGUGAUCGGCCACACUGGAACUGAGACACGGUCCAGACUCCUACGGGAGGCAGCAGUAGGGAAUCUUCCGCAAUGGGCGAAAGCCUGACGGAGCAACGCCGCGUGAGUGAUGAAGGUCUUCGGAUCGUAAAACUCUGUUAUUAGGGAAGAACAUAUGUGUAAGUAACUGUGCACAUCUUGACAGUACCUAAUCAGAAAGCCACGGCUAACUACGUG
rnacentral:rRNA from 1 species